GAUGAACGCUGGCGGCGUGCCUAAUACAUGCAAGUCGAGCGAAUUGAUUAGAAGCUUGCUUCUAUGACGUUAGCGGCGGACGGGUGAGUAACACGUGGGCAACCUGCCUGUAAGACUGGGAUAACUUCGGGAAACCGAAGCUAAUACCGGAUAGGAUCUUCUCCCUCAUGGGAGAUGAUUGAAAGAUGGUUUCGGCUAUCACUUACAGAUGGGCCCGCGGUGCAUUAGCUAGUUGGUGAGGUAACGGCUCACCAAGGCAACGAUGCAUAGCCGACCUGAGAGGGUGAUCGGCCACACUGGGACGGAGAAACGGCCCAGACUCCUACGGGAGGCAGCAGUAGGGAAUCUUCCGCAAUGGACGAAAGUCUGACGGAGCAACGCCGCGUGAGUGAUGAAGGCUUUCGGGUCGUAAAACUCUGUUGUUAGGGAAGAACAAGUACGAGAGUAACUGCUCGUACCUUGACGGUACCUAACCAGAAAGCCACGGCUAACUACGUGCCAGCAGCCGCCGUAACAC
rnacentral:rRNA from 1 species